AUUGAACGCUGGCGGCAGGCCUAACACAUGCAAGUCGAGCGGAUGAAGGGAGCUUGCUCCUGGAUUCAGCGGCGGACGGGUGAGUAAUGCCUAGGAAUCUGCCUGGUAGUGGGGGAUAACGUCCGGAAACGGGCGCUAAUACCGCAUACGUCCUGAGGGAGAAAGUGGGGGAUCUUCGGACCUCACGCUAUCAGAUGAGCCUAGGUCGGAUUAGCUAGUUGGUGGGGUAAAGGCCUACCAAGGCGACGAUCCGUAACUGGUCUGAGAGGAUGAUCAGUCACACUGGAACUGAGACACGGUCCAGACUCCUACGGGAGGCAGCAGUGGGGAGUAUUGGACAAUGGGCGAAAGCCUGAUCCAGCCAUGCUGCGUGUGUGAAGAAGGUCUUCGGAUUGUAAAGCACUUUAAGUUGGGAGGAAGGGCAGUAAGUUAAUACCUUGCUGUUUUGACGUUACCAACAGAAUAAGCACCGGCUAACUUCGUG
rnacentral:rRNA from 1 species